GGGCGUUUAGCGCAGUGGUAGCGCGUAUGCUUUGCAAGCCCAGUCAGUACGACCGAGCCAUGUGUAUAAGGUCCAGGGUUCAAUCCCCUGAACGUCCA